rnacentral:tRNA from 1 species
UAGCCUUACUGGGGAUCGAACCCAGAUCACUACGUUCCAAACGUAGUAUUCUCCCAUUUAACUAUAAGGCC